UCCCACGAAUCUGUAGUUGACAGUCAGACCCCGACUGAGAAUCAUAGGGAGAACAGUCCUAAUCACAGUACUUGUUCUAGUACAACUUCAGAUGUGUUUCCUGAGGAAGACCAAUCAAUUAUACAAGAUAUUAAACAAAGAUCAGAAGGUAUUGCAAACAAUGCUAGAACCAGGUUAGGAUCUGUUGAAUCUUUGAGAAACAAAUUUGAAAAGAAACAAGAAUCAACUGAGACAAAAGGAGUCUCUCAGACGGAUACGAUACAACUAGCAACAGACUUCAAAGAAAAAUUAAAGUUAGCAGGAAAUGACUCGUGAAAUUGAAAAAUGUUCUGAUAUUCUAUGAUGGACAUGUGAAGGUUUUGUUUGUGUCGUGUUCUGCUUUCUAUUUGUUUAAAAAAAUGACAUUUGGAGGUCAACACGUGUUGUAGUCUUGUACUUAUUUAAAAUAUGUUGACUGUUUCGUAAAAAGUUGUUUGUUGAUUUGUUUUCCAGUGGUUUUUUUUCUCUAUAUGCCACAGAAGAAGUCCGUAAAAUACGUUACGAUUAAAAGUGGUAUAUGUGGUGUAUACGUCGAUGAGAUAUAGCAACACAACAACAAAUACACCAAAGAUAUC